rnacentral:rRNA from 1 species
UGGGGAAUAUUGCACAAUGGGGGAAACCCUGAUGCAGCAACGCCGCGUGAGUGAUGACGGCCUUCGGGUUGUAAAGCUCUGUCUUCAGGGACGAUAAUGACGGUACCUGAGGAGGAAGCCACGGCUAACUACGUGCCAGCAGCCGCGGUAAUACGUAGGUGGCGAGCGUUGUCCGGAUUUACUGGGCGUAAAGGGAGCGUAGGCGGACUUUUAAGUGAGAUGUGAAAUACCCGGGCUCAACUUGGGUGCUGCAUUUCAAACUGGAAGUCUAGAGUGCAGGAGAGGAGAAUGGAAUUCCUAGUGUAGCGGUGAAAUGCGUAGAGAUGUGGAGGAACACCAGUGGCGAAGGCGACUCUCUUGUCUGUAACUGACGCUGAGGAGCGAAAGCGUGGGUAGCAAACG